rnacentral:rRNA from 1 species
GAUGAACGCUGGCGGCGUGCCUAAUACAUGCAAGUCGAGCGAGCAGAUGAGUAGCUUGCUCCUCUGACGUUAUCGGCGGACGGGUUAGUAACACGUGGAUAACCUACCUAUAAGACUGGGAUAACUUCGGGAAACCGGAGCUAAUACCGGAUAAUAUAUUGAACCGCAUGGUUCCAUAGUUAAAGACGGUUUUGCUGUCACUUAUAGAUGGAUCCGCGCCGCAUUAGCUAGUUGGUAAGGUAACGGCUUACCAAGGCGACGAUGCGUAGCCGACCUGAACGGGUGAACGGCCACACGGGAACUGAGAAACGGUACAGACUCCGACGGGAGGAAGCAGUAGGGAAUCUUACGCAAUGGGAGAAAGCGUGAUGGAGCAAAGUCGCGUGAGUGAUGAAGGUCUUAGGAUAGGAAAACUCUGUUAUUAGGGAAGAAGAAAUGUGUAAGUAACUAGGAACGUCUUGACGGUACCAAAUCAGAAAGCCACGGCUAACUACGUG